rnacentral:rRNA from 1 species
UACGAAGGGGGCUAGCGUUGCUCGGAAUCACUGGGCGUAAAGGGUGCGUAGGCUGGGUUUUUAAGUCAGGGGUGAAAUCCUGGAGCUCAACUCCAGAACUGCCUUUGAUACUGAAGAUCUUGAGUUCGGGAGAGGUGAGUGGAACUGCGAGUGUAGAGGUGAAAUUCGUAGAUAUUCGCAAGAACACCAGUGGCGAAGGCGGCUCACUGGCCCGAUACUGACGCUGAGGCACGAAAGCGUGGGGAGCAAACAGGA